rnacentral:tRNA from 1 species
AGUGAGGUGGAGCAGUUGGUAGCUCGUUGGGCUCAUAACCCAAAGGUCGUCAGUUCGAGUCUGACCCUCGCAA